rnacentral:lncRNA from 12 species
CGGGCCCCUCGCUCUGCGCGGCCCCGCUCUCUGCCUCAGUUUCCCCGUCCCGCCCUCCAGGGGGCUGCUCGGACCACGGGGGCUCCCACUCCCAGCCGGGAGCAGCAGAGGGGACGUGGCACCAGCGCUAAAUUCCGCGGGAAGAGGAUACCAGGAGCCUCCGAAAUUAACCGGUUAAUUAACCGGCAUUCUCUGAUUGGUGCUCGCUGGUGAUAGGAAUAGAAUCCAAGUCCCUAAAUCAUUCAAAUCAUGCCACCCUGCUGUGACCCCUGUGCUGCUGCCCACCAGCCGUGGGGUGUCCUGGCCCUGAGAGGGGCUGGGCAUGGGGUGGGCGGCAGAUUGCAGCACCCAGGGAGAGCUGGGGCCAGAGAGGGGCUGUGCGUCCUUCACUGUCUGUCUGCCCCAGGUACUCCUCUGCCACCUGUGCUGGGGACUCCCAGGAGCAUCAGUGGGGUCCACAUUUCUGGUAAUCCUAUGGUUUGGUUUAUGGACUGAUGGUUUUUCUCUGCUCAUUCUGAAGAGGGGAGUGACUGUGCCACCAUCCCCUUGCCACCCUCCCUUGGCCAUGCACGGCCACAGCAGUUCUUGGGGGGCACAGUGAGAGACCCCCCCAGCUGAGGUGUCACCUCGUGUCCAGGAGAUCCCCAAAGAUCUCCUGGACAACUGACAGACACCCAAGGGAGAACCAAAAACCUCUGCCAAACCCACACCAUUGCUCCUCUCUUUCCUGAGCCUGGUGAUGACAAUUCCCAGCACGGUGUCCGUGCUGCAUCCCAGGGAAAUGCCUGUGGUACCUCCCUUUCAUCUCCUGCCUGGCAGCAGAUUAAAAUUUCAUCACUUCAGUGCUGGAGAAGGUGCAGAGGAGGAGCAGGAGCCCCAGGAUGGAGAGGGGGUUCAGCCCCUCUCUAGAGCUGCCUGCACUGAACUUGGGGGGCCCCCAAAUUCAGCCACACGUGGCUGGGCUGGAGGGAGCAGGAUUUGGGCACAGCCCUGCAGGGAUGGAUGGGCUGGAGGGAGCAGGAUUUGGGCUGUGCCCUGCAGGGAUGGAUGGGCUGGAGGGGGGGGGGGGGGGGGGGGGGGGGGGGGGGGGGGGGGGGGGGGGGGGGGGGGGGGGGGGGGGGGGGGGGGGG